GAUGAAGAACGCAGCGAAAUGCGAUAAGUAAUGUGAAUUGCAGAAUUCAGUGAAUCAUCGAAUCUUUGAACGCACAUUGCGCCCGCCAGUAUUCUGGCGGGCGUGCCUGUUCGAGCGUCAUUUCAACCAUCAAGCCCCCGGCUUGUGUUGGGGACCUGCGGCUGCCGCAGGCCCUGAAAAGCAGUGGCGGGCUCGCUGUCACACCGAGCGUAGUAGCAUACAUCUCGCUCUGGGCGUGCUGCGGGUUCCGGCCGUUAAACCACCUUCAUAACCCAAGGUUGACCUCGGAUCAGGUAGGAAGACCCGCUGAACUUAAGCAUAUCAAUAAGCGGAGGA
rnacentral:misc_RNA from 1 species